GGCAGCAUGGUGUAUGGUGCACGCGGGGGUCGAAUAGAUAAGUGUUGUCACUGUUAAAGAAGUUCCUCCCGAGGUCUUCGUUCAAUUCGAGGUGCUGUCA